rnacentral:rRNA from 1 species
UUAACGCUGAGAUACGAUGUCGAGCUACUACGGUAGUGAAGUCAUUGAUGCCAUGCUUCCAGGAAAAGCCUCUAAGCUUCAGAUUGUAAGGAAUCGUACCCCAAACCGACACAGGUGGUCGGGUAGAGAAUACCAAGGCGCUUGAGAGAACUCGGGUGAAGGAACUAGGCAAAAUGGUACCGUAACUUCGGGAGAAGGUACGCUCUUAUCAGUGAAGUCCCUUGCGGAUGGAGCAGACGAGAGUCGCAGAUACCAGGUGGCUGCAACUGUUUAUUAAAAACACAGCACUGUGCAAAAUCGUAAGAUGACGUAUACGGUGUGACGCCUGCCCGGUGCCGGAAGGUUAAUUGAUGGGGUUAG